AACUUGGCUGAAUUAUUCACCCUUGUCUUUUAGCGUACUUCUUGUUUCCUUGGUGGGUUCGCCCACCACUAGGACAAACAUAAACCUUUUGUAAUUGCAAUCAGCGUCAGUAACAAAUUAAUAAUUACAACUUUCAACAACGGAUCUCUUGGUUCUGGCAUCGAUGAAGAACGCAGCGAAAUGCGAUAAGUAGUGUGAAUUGCAGAAUUCAGUGAAUCAUCGAAUCUUUGAACGCACAUUGCGCCCUUUGGUAUUCCAAAGGGCAUGCCUGUUCGAGCGUCAUUUGUACCCUCAAGCUUUGCUUGGUGUUGGGCGUCUUGUCUCUAGCUUUGCUGGAGACUCGCCUUAAAGUAAUUGGCAGCCGGCCUACUGGUUUCGGAGCGCAGCACAAGUCGCACUCUCUAUCAGCAAAGGUCUAGCAUCCAUUAAGCCUUUUUUCAACUUUUGACCUCGGAUCAGGUAGGGAUACCCGCUGAACUUAAGCAUAUCAAUAAG
rnacentral:rRNA from 1 species